rnacentral:lncRNA from 1 species
AUAGCCAGUGAGAAAUCUCUGCAGAGCAGCGAGGUUGAUAUGAAACCAGUGGAAACCAGUACAGUGGUCACUGUUCUACAGCAGCCCAAUGAGGAACCUCCACAAACUGAUGCAGCUGUGCUACAGCAGCCCAGUGAGGAACUUCCACAAACUAAUGCAGCUGUGCUACAGCAGCCCAGUGAGGAACCUCCACAACCUAGUGCAGAUGAUGUGAAGCCUACAGAGGACACUGCAGUAGUAGUGAAAAAGCCAUGGCAAUUCAACUCGAGAACCGAGAAGCAACCCCAGACUAGUGUAGUCGAUGCAAAGAAAACAGAAAGUACUGGAGCAAUC